ensembl:lincRNA
UUUCCAACCCUGCAGUUCUUUCAGACAGGAACAAAUAUGGGUCAAAGUUUUCAACUGAUACCCUGUCAUCCUCCUGGAGGUGGGCUCUAAACUGAAGUCAUGAUAUGGAGCUACCAUAUUGCUUUUUAAAACAUCUAGCAGAGUCAAUGGGGCAUGCAGUCUUUGAAGUGAGUGGUGUUUUUCUAAUUUUAAAUAAGGUCAAUCAGUUGAUGAAUAUAAGCUUUAUAUGAGCAAAUUAAUUACAUUUACACUCCAAAAAUAAUCCAACCUGGUUGUAAUAUGAAGGACUCAUAAGGGACAAGAAUGAACAAAGGGACAAAGAGACAAGUUGAUAAACAAGUGUGGUGAAAAUAUGAGAUUAUGAUGAUGGCAGUGAGGAUGGAUUCCAGACGAAUUUGUAGAAGAGAUUCACAGGAUUCGAUGUGGAAGGCAAAGAGUGGUGAGCAGGUGACUCUCCGGAAUGAAUUUGCUGAUGGUGAGCAAAGUGUGCAGUCUGCCUGAAGGCCCUCCUGCCCUUCUUGUAGUUGUACGUUCUCUCCCUGGUAUGGACUCUCUUAUGUUGGUUAAAGUAUCCAAUCUG